GCGGGAGUAGCUCAGUCGGUAGAGCACCGGCUUCCCAAGCCGGGUGUCGCGGGUUCGAGUCCCGUCUCCCGCUCCA
rnacentral:tRNA from 1 species